GCGAAAUAUAAAAAGUAAUAUAUUGUUGCGUUACACUAUUUCAAUUUUGAAAUCGUCAAGCUAACAAAACCUAACACUCCCAAGGGCAGAACCUAUGAUGUAACACUUAUUGUGCUGGUUAUAAAGUAUCCUGAAAGAUACAACAGCCUGAAACUAUAAUGUAUCAAUCUAGCUUACAAAUGAAACGUGUUUCCAUUCACACUCCUCUCUUUCGACUCUUUACACAAAUGAUACAAUGCUGCCAUCUCG